rnacentral:rRNA from 1 species
UACGUAGGGUGCGAGCGUUGUCCGGAAUUAUUGGGCGUAAAGAGCUCGUAGGCGGCUGUUCAAGUCGAACGUGAAAACUCGGAGCUCAACUCCGAGCCUGCGUUCGAUACUGGACGGCUAGAGUCUGGUAGGGGGGAUCUGGAAUUCCUGGUGUAGCGGUGGAAUGCGCAGAUAUCAGGAGGAACACCGGUGGCGAAGACGGGAUCCUGGGCCAGUACUGACGCUGAGGAGCGAAAGCGUGGGGAGCAAACAGG